GAGGAACUGCAGCUGCAGAAGGGAGAAAUCACGGCAGAAUCAUCGAGGUAAGACUGAGACCAAAACCGAGGGAAAUGUCUAGUGGGUUUUGCAAAGAAAAAAAAUCUUAGGACCUGUGGAGCACCCCUCCCUUCUUAUUUCUGAGAAAUAAAUCACUAGGCUGGUUUGUUGUCAUUGCUACUAACUCAUGAUGACAUUUGCUUUCAUCUGGGUGAUGUUUAAAAUUAUUAAUAAAUUGCAUGAUGUAGACAGUGUUAGCCUUUAAAUCUACACCGCCGUGAAACUUUACAAAGCAAGAUGGUAAUCUGACUUCCUCCGUUAAUGCUCAGCAACUCUCUGCAAGUGGCUGUCAGUAAAAAAAGGGACACAGAAGAACUGAGUACAGAGCAUUUCUGGAAAAAAUAAGGAAUCAACUGUCUAAAUGGAUAAAAAAAAUUUUAAAACUCAAUUGUGAUUCUAUUCACUUGAGAAACUUUGUUCUGAAGGCUGCUGGUCCUUUAUGCUCCUGGCAAUUUUUCUUCCUCAUAUUUUCCUCUCCUCUGUAUGUCAGUGGUUCUCAACCUUCCUAAUGCUGUGACUCUUCAAUAGAUCUUCAUGCGCUGGUGACCCUAGACCAGAAAAUUAUUUCAUUGCUACUUCAUAACCGAAAGUUUUGCUACUGUUAUGAGUGGUAAUGUAAACAUCUGAAAUGCAGGAUAUCUGAUAUGCAGGAUAUCUGAUAUGCAGGAUAUCUGAUAUGCAGGAUAUCUGAUAUAAAUCCCUGUGACUCCCAAUGGGGUCUCCAUCCACUGAUUGAGACCCACUACUCUAACUGCAUGCAUGUGCUUCAGAUAUUUUAGUAAAGAACACAGCAUGAAAUACCUUAUACUGUGGUCACGCAGGAGCCAGAGACUGCAUCUGGCUGUCUGUCUUCCCAGUCUGCUUUCCACCUGUGUCUGCUUCCUCAAGUCAUCCUUGCUUGCUACUGUGGUCCACCACUGGGUCCAGCAUCCCGGAAAACUGUUUUUCACUUUUGUCUUUCAAAUCCUUGUUGCUCCUCUUCUGAUUUCCUCCCGGAUGACACACAGCUCUGUGUUCCAAACAUCUCAGCAUCCUCUGGUUUCUCAGAGUUAGGGGCCCCUGAGCCUUGUCACACAGGAAGAGUAUCCUUAAACAGUUAAGCAUGCCUGCGUAGCUUGCACUGUUGCCCGCCCGCCUGGCUCAAGUUUCACGUUUUCUCCGUUCUUCUCUGAGAGGUUCUGGGAUCUCCCAUGCAACUGUGAGCAGCAGUAACUUCUGACUUCCUCUGGCACCUAGAUGCUAUUUCUUUGGAUCACUGUUUACAGUGUGUACUUCACAUUUACACAGAAAAUAAUUCCAUGGUGAGCUUUAACUUUCAUGUAUGGGUCGAGAGAGGGUUGGGAGUAGAUAAAAAGGUGACAGAUUAGGACUGCUACCACGGGGUCUGCCAAGGGACACAGGAAAAGAACUUCGUGAGCAGCUUCUGGGAAUGGGAGUAUUGUUAAUGCUCUAUCCAUAAAUUAAAUCACUGGAAGGAGACACCACAGAAACACAGUGCUGGGAGGGAAUAAAUAUGUGCUCGGGAACGUUUAUGCUAAGGGAGUCUGAUCAUGUGUUUUCUGUCUUGUGUUUUACAUGAGUCUGACUUUGGCAAAAAUCAAUGCAUUGUAACAGUUGACACGUUUGCAAACAUUGUACGUACAAGGUUAGGGGACAGACUUCCCCCUUUGAGCCUCAAUUUGCAGAAGGGACAGUUAGAUACUGCAAGGUCAAAUACGAACUCCUCAAAUGGUAGAACUGUAAUUCUGUGGAGCAAUGAAAAAUGAUGGUUGGGUCAAAGGCUUCAGGGUCGUGGUAGGAUCUCUUAUCUCAGCGUUUCCUUGCCGUUUCUCAGGUGUCGAUGUCUGGGUGCAAAAGAACUUUGUUGUUGUUGUUGUUGUUGUUGUUGUUUUAUGGUGCUGUGACUCAAACCCAAGGCUUUGGACAUACUAGAUAAGCAUGCUUCCACUGAACUGUCUCUCCAGGCUGCAACAGGCGCGUCUAAGGGAACAGUCCUUACAGGGCAGGCAGACCUCUGGAUGAGAGGAGACCAAAGGGCAUGGGGAGUUUGGAGAACAUUUCCCUUGCUGCCGACUCCUGACAAUACUACUUUUGCCACCAGUAGAUUAUACCCCUGAUGGGUUGUUUUUCUUUUCAUUUAGAGGAAACACAUGAUUUAGUGCAAUAG
rnacentral:lncRNA from 1 species